UCCCUUAUUCCCUCCACCCAUAUACAUGUAUAUCCCAUCCAUGUACACGUUACCCAAGAUUGCAUGAAAUUUCUUUGGUGCAAAAGCCGAUUCCAAAAAGCAAGAAAGCAACAGUUAGAGUAAACAAUUUCCCUUUGUUCCAGAAUCCUUCACAUCCUUAUGUAACCGGGCUCUAUAUCAUGCAGCCUGACUAGCGGUGGGAUUCAAAUAUGUGAACAACCAGUUUUCUGUGUGGAUGCCGCUUCCAGAAGUCCAUUCUGGGCCUGAGCAACAAAAAAUUAGCUACCAUUUCUGCCAAAUUGGUGCAAACUGGCUGAAUCACUGUAUUUGGAUGUGUUGUAGGGCAAAAUGGUAGAUACAGGGAAGUUCUUUUUUUUAUUUUGGAGACCCAGGUGUUGGACAAUACACAGUCUUCUAGAUUCUUCAGGCUUAUACACAGUUCUGUUUUAAGAGCUCUUCUGAAUCCUAGAUUCGAUGCAUUUUGAAUUUUUUUUUUCCUGGUAGAUUUCCAUCGCUGUGAGAAAGCUAUGAAUGCCAAAGGCUCUGAUCCCUAUGUCUUGUCAGUGGUACAAAAAAGUAUACUCAUCCCUGUGCCCUUCUUUUGGGGAUAUACUUGAGAAGCAUAAUUGUAUGGAAGAGUUACAGUUCUAACGGAUCACUCUUAUUGAGAAAUGGUGAUCAAAGGAAUGUCCUGUUCUUUUGCAAGUUGACAACUGGGAUGAACUUCAGGGAAAUGGCUGUUUUCCAGGCAAAAUCUGAUAGUCUUUUGUCUGCCAGUACCUCCUCCUUCUCAGGAUGUUGCACUGCUGAGUCCUUUCUAUGUGUACAUCUGAAGGAUUGUCUGAAAUGGCUGUUAUCUUCUUGAUCAUCUGAAUCAUUUAAUAGUACAAAUCUUGGAUAUUACCCAUUCUAAUAAAAUGCAUAAUACCCA